CUUGCCAUAGUUUAGUGAAUACAAGCAUGUCUAGCUUGAGGUUUAGGCGGGU
rnacentral:tRNA from 1 species